rnacentral:pre_miRNA from 1 species
CGGGGGAGGCCGGAUCCUGGGCUGUGUCCCGGCGCCCUGUGCCCCGGGGCCUGUGGGGCUGGAUUCGCGCUCCCGCCCCGCAGCCCCCU